GAUGAACGCUGUCUACAGGCUUAACACAUGCAAGUCGAGGGGAAACGACGGGGAAGCUUGCUUCCCCGGGCGUCGACCGGCGCACGGGUGAGUAACGCGUAUCCAACCUGCCUCUGACUGAGGGAUAACCCGUCGAAAGUCGGCCUAAUACCUCAUGGCAUCGUCUGCGGGCAUCCAACGACGAUUAAAGAUUUCAUCGGUCAGGGAUGGGGAUGCGUCUGAUUAGCUUGUUGGCGGGGUAACGGCCCACCAAGGCUACGAUCAGUAGGGGUUCUGAGAGGAAGGUCCCCCACAUUGGAACUGAGACACGGUCCAAACUCCUACGGGAGGCAGCAGUGAGGAAUAUUGGUCAAUGGGCGGGAGCCUGAACCAGCCAAGUAGCGUGCAGGAUGACGGCCCUAUGGGUUGUAAACUGCUUUUAUGCGGGGAUAAAGUGAGGGACGUGUCCUUCAUUGCAGGAACCGCAUGAAUAAGGACCGGCUAAUUCCGUG
rnacentral:rRNA from 1 species